AUACGGAAGGUCCUGGCGUUAUCCGGAUUUAUUGGGUUUAAAGGGAGCGCAGGCGGGAGGUUAAGCGUGACGUGAAAUGUAGCCGCUCAACGGCUGAACUGCGUCGCGAACUGGCUUUCUUGAGUGAGUACGACGUCAGCGGAAUUCGUGGUGUAGCGGUGAAAUGCUUAGAUAUCACGAAGAACCCCGAUUGCGAAGGCAGCUGACGAGUCCUUUACUGACGCUAAAGCUCGAAGGUGCGGGUAUCGAACAGGAUUAGAUACCCUGGUAGUCCGCACGGUAAACGAUGGAUGCCCGCUGUAUGCGAUACAAUGUAUGCGGCCAAGCGAAAGCGUUAAGCAUCCCACCUGGGGAGUACGCCGGCAACGGUGAAACUCAAAGGAAUUGACGGGG
rnacentral:rRNA from 1 species